UACGAAGGGGGCUAGCGUUGCUCGGAAUUACUGGGCGUAAAGCGCACGUAGGCGGCUUUCUAAGUCGGGGGUGAAAUCCUGGAGCUCAACUCCAGAACUGCCUUCGAUACUGGAAAGCUCGAGUCCGGGAGAGGUGAGUGGAACUGCGAGUGUAGAGGUGAAAUUCGUAGAUAUUCGCAAGAACACCAGUGGCGAAGGCGGCUCACUGGCCCGGUACUGACGCUGAGGUGCGAAAGCGUGGGGAGUAAACAGG
rnacentral:rRNA from 1 species